ncrna:Microcoleus chthonoplastes PCC 7420 HNH endonuclease-associated RNA and ORF (HEARO) RNA
GUCAACUACCGCACACCAACCCUUAGGGGUAUGGUGUGGGCUUGAAAAAGCCUGUUGACCAGACGGCUCACCUCGACUUCGCUCGGUGAGCGGAGCCGAACCGAGCAGCCGUUAAGACUAAGAGUUAACGUUCGUACCAAGGGAUGCGUGCCAGUUCCUUGCUCUACAACUGGGUAAUUAAACAGGUCAUUCGGAAAAGCCAGUGUUACUCAGAAAGUACCGGGUCUUAACACCGUCGAGGCAAACUUUAC